UACAGAGGCGGCAAGCGUUGUUCGGAAUCACUGGGCUUAACGCGCGUGUAGGCGGCCAUGCAAGUCCUUUGUGAAAUCCCUCGGCUCAACCGGGGAAUUGCUUGGUAUACUGCAGGGCUUGAGGCGGGUAGGGGUGCUUGGAACUCUAGGUGGAGCGGUGAAAUGCGUAGAUAUCUAGAGGAACGCCUGUGGCGAAAGCGGAGCACUGGGCCCGUCCUGACGCUAAGACGCGAAAGCGUGGGUAGCAAACGGG
rnacentral:rRNA from 1 species